GCUGGCGGCCACACCACCUAGAGCUGAGCUCCCAUCAGUGAGCAGGGUUGGGCUGGUUGUGCGUCUUAUGGGAGACCUCCAAGGAAAGGCUGGAGGUGUCAGCG
ensembl:rRNA 5S_rRNA 5S ribosomal RNA